rnacentral:miRNA from 12 species
AGAUCAUUCUUUUCUCCAAGUAUGUAUCCAGUAGUGUGUGUGUGUGUGUGUGUGUGUGUGUGUGUGUGUGUGUACACAGACAUACAUAUACACACAUCUGAGGUCAUAUA